rnacentral:rRNA from 1 species
AUUGAACGCUGGCGGCAUGCCUUACACAUGCAAGUCGAACGGCAGCGCGGGGCAACCUGGCGGCGAGUGGCGAACGGGUGAGUAAUAUAUCGGAACAUACCCUAGAGUGGGGGAUAACGUAGCGAAAGUUACGCUAAUACCGCAUACGCACUAAGGUGGAAAGUGGGGGAUCUUCGGACCUCAUGCUCAUGGAGUGGCCGAUAUCUGAUUAGCUAGUUGGUGAGGUAAAGGCUCACCAAGGCGACGAUCAGUAGCUGGUUUGAGAGAACGACCAGCCACACUGGAACUGAGACACGGUCCAGACUCCUACGGAGGCAGCAGUGGGGAAUUUUGGGACAAUGGGGGCACCCUGAUCCAGCAAUGCCGCGUGAGUGAAGAAGGCC